CCUACGGGUGGCAGCAGUAGGGAAUAUUGCUCAAUGGGGGAAACCCUGAAGCAGCAACGCCGCGUGGAGGAUGAAGGUUUUCGGAUUGUAAACUUCUUUUGUUAGAGAAGAUAAUGACGGUAUCUAACGAAUAAGCACCGGCUAACUCCGUGCCAGCAGCCGCGGUAAUACGGAGGGUGCAAGCGUUAUUCGGAAUCACUGGGCGUAAAGAGCGCGUAGGCGGGUUAGCAAGUCAGAUGUGAAAUCCUAUGGCUUAACCAUAGAACUGCAUUUGAAACUGUUAUUCUAGAGUAUGGGAGAGGUAGGUGGAAUUCUUGGUGUAGGGGUAAAAUGCGUAGAGAUCAAGAGGAAUACUCAUUGCGAAGGCGACCUGCUAGAACAUAACUGACGCUGAUGCGCGAAAGCGUGGGGAGCAAACAGGAUUAGAUACCCGGGUAGUC
rnacentral:rRNA from 1 species